GGCUUCUUGGCGCAACGGUAGCGCGUCAGAUUCCAGUUCACGAUUAAUGUUGGAAGUUCCUGAAGGUUACCUGUUCGAAUCAGGUAGAGGUCA